GGAAGAGUAUCCUCCUUACCAUCAGUCUAACAGGAUACAAGUGUCCAUGUUCACUAUGAGUCCUGGGAGACGCCACAGACUGGCUGCAGUGUGCCUGGCGCUUCUUGCUGCUGUUCUUCUGAUACUGAGUAUUGGCCUGGGGAUCCACUGUAAGUCAUUAUGAGUUACAGGAGUGCACAGAAAUGUUUUCAUUAUUAAAUCAUUUCUUUUUUGCAAAUGGUUAUCAAACUUUGCCAAUAGUCCAAAAACAAAAACAAGCAAACAAACAAAAAAACUCUAAACUGUAAAAAAAA